UACAUAGGUCUCAAGCGUUGUUCGGAUUCAUUGGGCGUAAAGGGUGCGUAGGCGGCGCGGUUAGUCGGGUGUGAAAUCUCGGAGCUUAACUCCGAAACUGCAUUCGAUACUGCCGUGCUUGAGGACUGGAGAGGAGACUGGAAUUUACGGUGUAGCAGUGAAAUGCGUAGAGAUCGUAAGGAAGACCAGUGGCGAAGGCGGGUCUCUGGACAGUUCCUGACGCUGAGGCACGAAGGCCAGGGGAGCAAACGGG
rnacentral:rRNA from 1 species